UUAGGGAGGGGGACUACAUCGUGGCGGUGGACGGUCUGGACUGUAAGUGGUCCAAACACGGAGAGGUGGUCGACCUGCUGAGGAGAGACGGAGGGGCGGAGCUUAGCGUGGUCACUCUGCACUCACACGACACACAGGUGGAGAGGCGGAGCCUCAUGGUUUCCCACGGCGACAAGGAGAACACACGGCAGCGUCUGGUGGGCGGAGCUAAAGGCCAGAGCUCCGCCUCCCUGCUGAACUGGAACAGGAAGAAGAAAAGGGAAGGAGGCGGAGCCACCAAGAGACGAGGGGGGGCCACCUUCAGUCUGUCCUUUGGGACCAUCAGAGACCCUGAGGACAUGUACUGAUCCAGGACCAGGACUGAACCAGGACCAGGACUGAUCCAGGACCAGGACUGAUCCAGGGCUGAGGAGGACCAUGUACUGACCCGGGACAGGACUCAGGGACCCAGCAGUGACUGGUGGUCCUGACUGACGGCUGCAGCAGGAACCUGAUCAGGGAUCAGACGGUCCGAUCAGGAUCAUCCAGAGAAACCUGCUGCCGUCCUGAUCAGUCCUGAUCAGUCCUGAUCAGUCCUGGAUCUGGAUCAGUCCUGAUCAGUCCUGAUCAGUCCUGGACUCUAACAGGAGACUCUGAAGACCUGCUGCAGACUGAAGAAACCAGCUCAGAGUCCCGUCUUGUGGUCCAGUUUUAACCCGUUAAAGGAGGAAAUCAUUUCCACAUUUCUACCAUUAAACCUGUUGGGAGCUGUUGUGUUAUUCUACCAUUAAAGGUGGAAAGAGGAUACGUGGUUUUGUAGUAUUUGUAGUUUUUUCCACCUAUUUUUAGCACCUAUGUUUAUAUGUCUGGUGCAACUAAAUUUGUUUGGACAAAUAUAAUGAUAACAACAAAAAUAUCUGAUAAGAGUUUAAUUUAAGAGCUGAUAUCUAGACAUUUAACAUGGUUUUAUUGAUAAUAACCAACAUCAUUAUUAAAUCAUUAUCAAGAUUAUCAUUAUUUUUGGUCAUUUUGUGUCUUUUCCGAUCAUUUUACGUCUAUUUUUGGUCAAUUUGUUUCUAGUUUGAUAAUUUUGUGUCAUUUUUUAGUCAUUUUUACAUAUAUUUUUGGUCCUUUUGUCUUUUUUGGUCAUUUUGUAUCAUUUUUACAUCUAUUUUUGGUCCAUUUGUUUUCUUUUUGGUCAUUUUUAUGUCUUUUAGGUCAAUUUGUGUCUUUAUUGGUAAUUUUUAUGUCUAUUUUUGGUAAUUUUGUAUCGUUUUUAGUCAUUUCUGCAUCUAUUUUUGAUCAUUUUGUGUCUUUUUUUAGUAUUUUUUACAUCUACAGUCAUGGAAACAUUCUUGAUAAUAACCAUAAUCACGAUCAAUAAAACCAUGUUAAAUGUCUAGAUAUCAGCUCUUAAAUUAAACUCUUAUCAGAUAUUGUUGUUGUUAUCAUUAUAUUUGUCCAAACAAAUGAACCUUUAGUUGAACCAGACAUUAAAAUGAACCAGAAACUGAAGAAAACAAGGAGGUCUGAUCAUUAUUUUCCAUGAUGUUUCCUGAUGAUUCUCUGUGUAUCAGCUGUAAAUAUUUAGUAGAUAUGAAGGAAAACAAAGUAAAAUCUUCUGAAAACAUUCAUGUAAACAGAAGAGUUCCAUAUUUCACGUGUUUAAUCAUGUGUUGAUACUUUAAUAACAAUCAGCAGAUAUUAAUGUUAGUGUUGUUGUUUAGAUGAUUGAAUCACUGAUGUUUUCUAGUUUUGGUGUUUUAAUGAACUGUGAAUAUUGAAUGUUAAUAAUGUAGCUGUGACUUUUCAGUUUUUGUGUAUUUGAAAUGUGACAUGUUGUUUAUUUUGUCCUCGUGGGUCCAGCCAGUGUCCCGUCCUGUUUAUAUUUUAUCUCAUUUUAUCGUUUUACAGGUUUUUCUUUUGUUUGCCAUUAAAAGCUGAAUUACUUUUAUUACAAAUAUUAACCACGAAAUAAAAGUUGAAAUCUGUAAAGUGAUAAAUUGGGACAUUAUAUAAAUAUUCAGUGUUAUUGAAUUGCGUAAUGUUCUUAAAUGUUAAACAGUGAAUUCUAUAUAAAAAUAAAAAUAAAUACACAUCAUACUGCUGAAUGUAAAA